rnacentral:rRNA from 1 species
GACGAACGCUGGCGGCGUGCUUAACACAUGCAAGUCGAACGGAAAGGCCCUGCUUUUGUGGGGUGCUCGAGUGGCGAACGGGUGAGUAACACGUGAGUAACCUGCCCUUGACUUUGGGAUAACUUCAGGAAACUGGGGCUAAUACCGGAUAGGAGCUCCUGCUGCAUGGUGGGGGUUGGAAAGUUUCGGCGGUUGGGGAUGGACUCGCGGCUUAUCAGCUUGUUGGUAGGGUAGUGGCUUACCAAGGCUUUGACGGGUAGCCGGCCUGAGAGGGUGACCGGCCACAUUGGGACUGAGAUACGGCCCAGACUCCUACGGGAGGCAGCAGUGGGGAAUAUUGCACAAUGGGCGGAAGCCUGAUGCAGCAACGCCGCGUGCGGGAUGACGGCCUUCGGGUUGUAAACCGCUUUCGCCUGUGACGAAGCGUGAGUGACGGUAAUGGGUAAAGAAGCACCGGCUAACUACGUA